rnacentral:rRNA from 1 species
GACGAACGCUGGCGGCGUGCCUAACACAUGCAAGUCGAGCGGGGAUUUAAGUGGAAGUUCUUCGGAAUGGAGAUUUAAAUUCUAGCGGCGGACGGGUGAGUAACGCGUGGACAAUCUGUCCCGGACAGGGGGAUAACACUUGGAAACAGGUGCUAAUACCGCAUAAGACCACGGCCUCGCAUGGGGCUGAGGUAAAAGGAGCAAUCCGGUUCGGGGUGAGUUCGCGUCCGAUUAGCUAGUUGGUGAGGUAACGGCCCACCAAGGCGACGAUCGGUAGCCGGCCUGAGAGGGUGAACGGCCACAUUGGAACUGAGAGACGGUCCAAACUCCUACGGGAGGCAGCAGUGGGGAAUAUUGGGCAAUGGGCGAAAGCCUGACCCAGCAACGCCGCGUGAGGGAAGAAGGUUUUCGGAUUGUAAACCUCUGUCCUAUGGGACGAAGGAAGUGACGGUACCAUAGGAGGAAGCCCCGGCUAACUACGUG